CGGCUGCUAAUACCCCAUAUGCCGCGAGGUGAAAUGAAUUUCGCCUGAGGAUGAGCUCGCGUCUGAUUAGCUAGUUGGUGUAGGUAAUGGCUCACCAAGGCAUCGAUCAGUAGCUGGU
rnacentral:rRNA from 1 species